rnacentral:rRNA from 1 species
UACGUAGGUGACAAGCGUUGUCCGGAUUUACUGGGCGUAAAGAGCGCGCAGGCGGUCGUUCAAGUCGAGUGUGAAAGCCCCCGGCUCAACUGGGGAGGGUCACUCGAUACUGAUCGACUUGAAGGCAGGAGAGGGAAGCGGAAUUCCCGGUGUAGCGGUGAAAUGCGCAGAUAUCAGGAAGAACACCAAUGGCGAAAGCAGCUCUCUGGGACGGUACUGACGCUGAGACGCGAAAGCGUGGGGAGCGAACAGG